UGAAGCCUCCGGUUCAUCCACCGGUUAAGCCUCCAGUGCACCCUCCCGUGAAGCCUCCAGUUCAUCCACCAGUGUACCCUCCCGUGAAGCCUCCAGUUCACCCACCGGUUAAGCCUCCAGUGCACCCUCCCGUGAAGCCUCCGGUUCAUCCACCAGUGUACCCUCCCGUGAAGCCUCCAGUUCAUCCACCGGUGAAGCCUCCAGUACACCCACCGGUUAAGCCUCCAGUACACCCUCCCGUGAAGCCUCCGGUUCAUCCACCAGUAUACCCACCCGUGAAGCCUCCAGUUCAUCCACCGGUUAAGCCUCCAGUGCACCCUCCCGUGAAGCCUCCAGUACACCCACCGGUUAAGCCUCCAGUGCACCCUCCCGUGAAGCCUCCGGUUCAUCCACCAGUAUACCCUCCCGUGAAGCCCCCAGUUCAUCCACCGGUUAAGCCUCCAGUGCACCCUCCCGUGAAGCCUCCGGUUCAUCCACCAGUAUACCCUCCCGUGAAGCCUCCAGUUCAUCCACCGGUUAAGCCUCCAGUGCACCCUCCCGUGAAGCCUCCGGUUCAUCCACCAGUAUACCCUCCCGUGAAGCCUCCAGUUCAUCCACCGGUUAAGCCUCCAGUGCACCCACCUGUGAAGCCUCCAGUCUACCCUCCGGUAAGGAAGCUUGUGGCGGUACAAGGAGUUGUUUAUUGCAAGACCUGCAGUUAUGCUGGUUUUAAUCCCAAGGAAGCUAUGCCUCU
rnacentral:lncRNA from 1 species